rnacentral:lncRNA from 1 species
UGAUUAUUUCAGAUCGGCAUUGUCUUUGUCUAAGCUGUAAUCAACAGGCCUUCACAAUGCCAGGAAAGAGUGACGUAGCUGACUGUCAUCACAAGACGCUGCUCCUCCUGGGGAUGGCUGGUCUCUGAUGAAGAAGCUACACCCAUUUCCACAAUACGGAUGCAGAACAAACCAGUAUUUCAUUUAUUAAAACAAGGCAGGAAGAGAAGCUCUAAUCCAUUCUCUCUCAUGCGUAUCUAAUAGGAGCCAACCUUCAAUCCAAAAGCCACUCUACACCAUCUAAGUGAAUCGGCCAAUCUCAACAACAUGGACAAGAGGCCAGAUCUGUCGAGAACUCUGUCAUCUGUAUGAAAACAUCCCAGGGCUACACAAAGCCACUUAUCUGAGCCCUUCACUCAGGAUGGAAACAAAGGCAGCUUGCAGAUCUGAUUAUGCCGUAGUCCUCAGGAACCUGUUACCACACAAGGGGCUAGAAAGUCCUGAGCGAGUUGUGGAUGAGGUUGGCGGCCACACUGCCCACACAGAAUUCUAAAGGGGAUUCUCCUGCCUCCCACCGUGAGACUCAACUCUGAUCCAGCCCCUCAAAUUUGAGGGAGACCCCACGUAACCUACAUGGUCCAUCUGCAGGGAUUCCAUAGCCCUGUCUUUACUUCAUU